UGUCUUUUUGAUUAUAAUUUAAAGUCGGCUCUGCCCACUGAUAGAUUAAAUGGCCGCGGUAUUUUGACCGUGCAAAGGUAGCAUAAUCAUUAGUUUUUUAAUUGAAAGCUGGAAUGAAGGAGUUGAUGAAAAAAUAUCUGUCUCUAAUUUAAUAUUUUGGAAUUUUAUUUUUAAGUAAAAAAGCUUAAAUAAGUAUUAAAGACGAUAAGACCCUAUAGAGUUUUAUAUAUAAAUUUAUAAUAGUAUAAGAAUAUUAAAAAAUUAUAAUGUAAAUAUAUUUAAUUGGGGCGAUUAAAAAAUUAAAAUAACUUUUUUUUAUAUCAACAUAUAUAUAUGAUUAAUGAUCUAAAU
rnacentral:rRNA from 1 species